GCUGGGGGCGGUGGAGCAUGCCUAUAAUCCCAGUAGCUUGGGAGGCUGAGGCAGGAGGAUCACGAGUUUAAAGCCAGCCUCAUCAAAAGUGAGGUGCUAAGCAACUCAGUGAGACCCUGUUUCUA
rnacentral:sRNA from 1 species